rnacentral:rRNA from 1 species
GACGAGCGCUGGCGGCGUGCCUAAUACAUGCAAGUUGAGCGAUGAAGAUUGGUGCUUGCACCAAUUUGAAGAGCAGCGAACGGGUGAGUAACGCGUGGGGAAUCUGCCUUUGAGCGGGGGACAACAUUUGGAAACGAAUGCUAAUACCGCAUAAUAACUUUAAACAUAAGUUUUAAGUUUGAAAGAUGCAAUUGCAUCACUCAAAGAUGAUCCCGCGUUGUAUUAGCUAGUUGGUGAGGUAAAGGCUCACCAAGGCGAUGAUACAUAGCCGACCUGAGAGGGUGAUCGGCCACAUUGGGACUGAGACACGGCCCAAACUCCUACGGGAGGCAGCAGUAGGGAAUCUUCGGCAAUGGACGAAAGUCUGACCGAGCAACGCCGCGUGAGUGAAGAAGGGUUUCGGAUCGUAAAACUCUGUUGGUAGAGAAGAACGUUGGUGAGAGUGGAAAGCUCAUCAAGUGACGGUAACUACCCAGAAAGGGACGGCUAACUACGUG